UUGAUACAAAAAAGUGCAUGUUGAAAUAGGUAAGCCUUGCCCGGCCUAGGUUACUAGAAUCAUUGCAUUACAUUGUACCUCAACUCCAUCUUGUUUGUCCAAAGACAGAAGAUCAGUUAUGAAACUUCCAUCAAAAUACAAAGUUUACGAUUUCUUGAUGUUAGCUGGGAAUAGCUUCUUUGCUGGGUCAACAUUAAUCUUUGCAGGAUUAACCUUCUAUAAAAUGUUCCAAUUUAAAACAAAAAGAGUUCCUGAAAUAGAGGAAGAAGUGAGACUAUUCAAGGAAGCUCAAUUAAUGAAAGAACAGGUGGAGAGAGAAUCUAUGUUGAUGCGGAAUGUUCAAACCAACAAAGACUAAUAAUGUCCUUGUCCUAUAAUUAAUUUUUGAUAGAUUUUGAUAUUUUCCAACAUGGAAAAAUUACAUAACGUAAACAAUUUUUUAGUGUUGUAAUAUAUCAAAAUGUUAUAAAUGUUUAUUAGUUGAGAGUGACAUGAACGAUUAUGCUAGUUUAUCAGUUGAGAAUGAUGUGAAAGAUUGCAGUAAUGUUUGUGAUUUUUUGAAUUGUAAAUAUAAUGUGCCAAUUUGCUGAGUACAGUUGUCUGAAUUUUCAUGCAUAGACUUCCCUUUCUCCAAUAUUUCCUGUAUGAAUUACAGAAACCUUUAGAGAACCAUGAACUUUAUGAUCUAGAAACUUCUUUAUGAAGCAUUAUUAAAAACAUAGGUUAUCAAAUGUUUCAGAGAAAUUCUCUGAUAGGCUUUGUAAAACAAAAAGUGACGAGCCCUUGAUACAAUGUUGUAAAGGGGAUUAAAUUGUGAGAAGGGAAGUAACUUGUUUUGUGGACCUUCCUUUCAAAAAAAACACUUGUGUGAAUGGUCAAAAUGUGUUUAGUUGUUCUAUGUUAUUAAAUCAGAAGUGACAAAAUGUCGGCCAUUAAGAAAGCAGAGUCCAUCUGGACAGGUUGCAAUUUCAACUGACAGAAAUUGUGUAAGUGAAAGAGCAUGUACAUUUUUUUAAUAGUAUGUGUGCAAGAUUUUUUUUUAUUCUAGCACGGAGAGAGAGUGUAUUGAGAAAUAUGUAUUUAAAAAAUUGUCAAACUAAUUAUGUCUUUCCUUGUAUUGGGAGAACUUUUCAAGUUAUGUACUGAUCUAAUGAAGCAGCUUAUGAAGGAAUGCAAGAAUGCAGUGAUUUCAUGUUGAGCUGAAGAGCAUGAAAAGAAAAAAAGAAAGGAAAAUGAUAAUCACAGAUUAAAUACCAUAUAUUUACCCAUUAGUAAGUCUAGGAUACCAGUAUGUAAACUCAAUUUGAAGUAGAUGGACAUAUUGCAGGGCAAUAAAAUUGUGUUUGUGUGUAAUUUUACAGAGUGACAAAGGAAAGGAUUGGAUUUGUUAAAGACCUUUCUGUCAGAUCAAUAUGUUGAAUACACUUACUAUCACAGUAGUUGUUAACAACAAUAAUAUCAUCACAUUCAUUAUUCACAAGAUCUUCAUAAAAUGUCUGUAAUUAACAUGGCAGAAAAUCUGUUAUGAAAUUUGCUAUUAAAUGUGAUGUUGGAUGAA